GACUUCUUCUUUGCCGAUUUGGAUGCCUUUUAUUUCUUUUUGUUGUCUGAUUGCUGUGGCUAGGACUUCUAAUACUAUGUUGAAUAGCAGUGGUGAUAGUGGACAUCCCUGCCGCAUUCCUGACCUUAGGGGGAAAGCUCUCAGUUUUUCCCCAUUGAGAAUGAUAUUCGCUGUAGGUUUUUCAUAGAUGGCUUUUAUGAUAUUGAGGUAUGUACCCUCUAUGCCUAUACUCUGAAGAGUUUUGAUCAAGAAAGGAUGCUGUACUUUGUCAAAUGCUUUUUCUGCAUCUAUUGAAAGGAUCAUACGAUUCUUGUUCUUUCUUUUGUUAAUGUAUUGUAUCACGUUGAUUGAUUUGCGGAUGUUGAACCAACCUUGCAGCCCAGGGAUAAAUCCCACUUGGUCGUGGUGAAUAAUCCUUUUAAUGGACUGUUGGAUCCUAUUGGCUAGUAUUUUGGUGAGAAUUUUUGCAUCCAUGUUCAUCAGGGAUAUUGGUCUGUAGUUCUCCUUUUUGAUGGGGUCUUUGUCUGGUUUUGGGAUCAAGGUAAUGGUGGUCUCAUAAAACGAGUUUGGAAGUUUUCCUUCCAUUUCUAUUUUUUGGAACAGUUUCAGAAGAAUAGGUAUUAAUCCUUCUUUAAAUGUUUGGUAGAAUUCCCCUGGGAAGCCAUCUGGCCCUGGGCUUUUGUUUUUUGGGAGAUUUUUGAUGACUGUUUCAAUUUCCUUAGUGGUUUUAGGUCUGUUCAGGUUUUCUAUUUCUUCCUGCUUCAGUUUUGGUAGUUGAUACAUCUCUAGGAAUGCAUCCAUUUCUUCCAGGUUAUCGAAUUUGCUGGCAUAGAGUUGCUCAUAAUAUGUUCUUAUAAUUGUUUGUAUUUCUUUGGUGUUGGUUGUGAUCUCUCCUCUUUCAUUCAUGAUUUUGUUGAUUUGGGUCCUUUCUCUUUUCUUUUUGAUAAGUCUGGCCAGGGGUUUAUCAAUCUUGUUAAUUCUUUCAAAGAACCAGCUCCUAGUUUCGUUGAUCUGUUCUACUGUUCUUUUGGUGUCUAUUUCAUUGAUUUCUGCCCUGAUCUUUAUUAUUUCUCUUCUCCUGCUGGGUUUAGGCUUUAUUUGCUGUUCUUUCUCCAGCUCCUUUAGGUGGAGGGUUAGGUUGUGUACUUGAGACCUUUCUUGUUUCUUGAGAAAGGCUUGUAUUGCUAUAUACUUUAGGACUGCCUUUGCUGCAUCCCAAAGAUUUUGAAUAGUUGUGUUUUCAUUUUCAUUGGUUUCCAUGAAUUUUUUAAAUUCUUCUUUAAUUUCCUGGUUGACCCAUUCAUUCUUCAGUAGGAUGCUCUUUAGCCUCCAUGUGUUUGAGUUCUUUCCAACUUUCCUCUUGUGAUUGAGUUCUAGUUUCAAAGCACUGUGGUCUGAAAAUAGGCAGGGAAUGAUCCCAAUCUUUUGGUACCGGUUGAGACCUGCUUUAUGACCUAGGAUGUGAUCUGUUCUGGAGAAUGUUUCACGGGCACUAGAGAAGAAUGUGUAUUCUGUUGCUUUGGGAUGGAAUGUUCUGAAUAUGUCUGUGAAGUCCAUUUGGUCCAGUGUGUCAUUCAAAGUCUUUAUUUCCUUGUUGAUCUUUUGCUUAGAGGAUCUGUCCAUUUCAGUGAGGGAGGUGUUAAAGUCCCCCACAAUUAUUGUAUUGUUGUCAAUGUGUUUCUUUGCUUUUGUUAUUAAUUGCAUUAUAUAACUGGCUGCUCCAUGUUAGGGGCAUAGAUAUUUACAAUUGUUAGAUCUUCUUGCUGGAUAGACCCUUUAAGUCAUGCUACCUUUUCUUAACCAUGAGUUUUUCAAACUCAUAAGUGUAUUUUCCGUUUCACCAACUCUCCCUCUCUCCUAGAUGCAUGGCUCUGGUAGUUGACCUCCUCCUCCUGCUCCAGUCUGGAUGGGCUCCUUGAGGUCUGCUGCAGAUCUGUCACCCUGCACCACCCUUAUCUGCUUCCAGACCCCAGCCAGGUUUAAGCCGCCUUGGCUUUGGACUCUCUGCUUGUAACUGCUGAAGAAAGGGUGCGUGGGAGUUAAACUUUAAAUACUUUCUGGCCUCCCGCCGCAGGGCAGGUUAGCUGAGCACAGGAUGCUGGCGGGCAAGUCACUCUCCCUGGACACCCGAAGGCAUCGCUCCUUCGGCUUCUCGUAUGCAACGUUGCUUACCGCAGGCUGAUCUUUCUUCAUUUGUAAGUGACUUUCAAGAAGUAAGGGAUUCAUCUCUGUUCACCAAUAAAAAGACUUUUCAAGCUUAGGACUUGGUCUAGGUCCUUGAUUUAGGGCUCUCCGUAUAGGUACAGCACUUGUCACCCAGCAGCCUCUCCUUAAAGGCGGGGACUUCCUGUUUCGGCGCCCACAGCUGGCCCAAGGCAGAUCCUGUGCUCAGGAGAGCUGGGUGUGGAUGUGGAAAGGACGUGCUGGGUUGGCAGGGGUCCGCACCUGAGGAGCUCCAGCUGAUCUGAAUUUUUCCAGAGUACUUGGAAGUCUGGAUUUUUAUGUGAAAUACCCAGAUUGACAACUUAGCAGAAAGCUAAUUCAGUUUGUUUUUUUUAAUUUUAAAAGAUUUUUAUUUAUUUAUUCAUGAGAGACAGAGAGAGAGAGAGGCAGAGGGAGAAGCAGGCUCCCAAGGAGCAGAGAGCCCGAUUCGGGACUCGAUCCCAGGACCCUGGGAUCAUGACCUGAGCCAAAGGCAGACGCUUAACCAUCUGAGCCACCCAGGCACCCAGCUAAUUCAGUUUUUAAAAGGGACUGUGAAACAACGUCUAGGCUGCCUUUGGUCAGGAGGUCACCAGUUUGAGGUAUGGAAGUGAGGAGCUGGCUGUGAGGCUGGGGGUCUCCCAAGUACCAAGGUGUGGAGCUCCUUGCUUCAAGACAUCACACGGAUCCCACUUGCCCUUGUUCUCCCCCCGAAAUCGAUUCUUUUACUCAGAGAACUGUUCGAAGAUACUUGGUGAGAGCAAAGCACAGGCAUAGGAAGGGGUCAGCUGUUUGAUGUACGUUGUGCUGUGUGUCCUCACAGUCGUCCUUGGGAACCCACCUCUACUCCCUGCAUGUCCGGAUGCCCCUCCUCUCGUGCUCCAGGAUCCUGUGACUCUGUCUUUGGUUGCCACUCCUCAGCCUGCUUUCCAGAUUCAACUUAGGUGAAAUCUCCUGCUUGUCAAUGACUCGCUUUGCUUCCUGUUCUCUGGCAGCUUAUACCUGUGUGAGUGUGUUGUGAACAUUUUAGUUGGGCCUGGAAGUACACAGAAGACACAUUUAUGCAUGUGAUCUGUCCAUCUUUUUUUUGUUUUUUAAGAUUAUUUAUUUGGGAGAGAGAGAGAAAGAAUGUGGUGCGGGAUGGGGAGAUGGACAAGGGGAGAGGGAGAGAGAGUUCUCACGCAGGCUCUGUGCUCAGCACAGGGCUCGGUCCCACAAUCCUGAGAUCAUGACCUGAGCCGAAAUCAAGAGUCGGACGCCUAACCGACUGAGCCACCCAGUCCAUCUUUUUGACCUGGAGUCCUUUCUCCAUUCCUAUGACACUACCCCUUGUUUUUUUCACUUCCUGACUAUCCUUCUGCAUUAUUUUGGGGUCUCUCUUUCUCCAGGCAUCACUAAAAGCUUGUUUCCCUCUAGGGCUCUCUGUUCAACUCACUCUUCCCCUCGAGUCUCUUCCUGGGUGACCUCGUCUGCUGGCACCACUUCUCUGCUAAUGACUCCAAAACCCUCACGUCCCGCCCUACAACAUGGUCAUGCUUGCGAUUCUUUACCAUCCACUGCCCACUAGAUAUAUCAUCACCCAGAUUCCCAAGUCCUUGGUACCUCCUUUUCAACCUGUUCGAAAUUCAACGUAUCCUCUUCCUUCUCUAGAACUGCUCUUUCUCCUUUUCUGGAUUGUUGGCAAUGUUGUCCCCUGACCCUGAGCCACACUAGACACAGGGGAGUAACCCUCCACCCUUCCCUUCCCCUCAUCCCCAGAGCUAAUCAGUUAUUUAGACCUUCCCAUUUUCUACCCUAAAUAUUUCUCAGUCCUGUCCCACAGUCUCCUGUGGGGGGAGACUCCCAUCCUCCAGAAUGAAAGGUCAGAAAGGCCAUCUCCCCUCCACUGUGAGGAACUAGAUCGGGAUCCCACUCUUAUGAGGGGCAGCCUCAUCCUGACCAAACCGUGCCGUCAAGUUUCUAAAUCUGCUGGCAAAAGAACAGGGCCUCUGAGCUGUGUUUCAGAGCACAAUGCAUAUGGUUUUACAGGGAUGGUGCAGGCCAGAGAAAUAAAUCCAAGGUGCCCAUCUUCAAAUCCUUCUGUGUCACUGAAGAGCCUGCCAUUUAUGACAGUUGGCCUUGGCCGGCACUCAUGUGCUAUUUCCUGAGGAAAAAAAGCUGAUUCCCGACACUGGAAAAGCUCCUGGGAAACUUGAACACGGGUACUAAUGAAAUGUCAAAGCCAUGUCUGAUCUUAGCAUCCUGCCCCUGCAUGCUACCCCAAGCUCCUUUUUAUAAACGAUACCAUUUUUGUCUCACAACAGCCCAGUAAGAGAGGCUUAGCAAGGUGAAGGUCGCCUGAUUAGUAAGUGUGGGGCUGACACUCAAAACCAACUCCACUCGUCUUCUAAUCCUGUGCUCCUUUGACUGUUCAACAGCUUCCGUGUCAGGAGUGGGGACUCUUGAAAGAUCCGGAGCUGGGUUGACGUCAUCAGACACAUGAUGAAGAAUGGUCUUUGCUGGGAUGACUUGUAUAUAGGAUUCCAAACCUGGCUGCAGCAGGAUCCUGACAUAUACCAAAAUCUGUAAGUCUGAAAAUGCCUGCCACAUGCAAGACCACUGCAGAGGAGGUCAUGGGUGUAUAUAAGCAGAGUCAGGGCCUGACUAUGCCCCCAGAUUCUGAUGGAUAUGUGAGAUUCCACCAUUAGAGCUUCAUUCCUUUGUUAACCUGUGAAAAGCAAAUCUUAGGAAAGUAGGAAAGUAAUAUUUUAAAGAGUCAUAAUUUUACAUUCAUACAAAUGUGUUUCAGUCCCUUCUGGAAGUACUUUUUGGUAAAGGAGAUGAAGGGACAUUAUUAGAGGGAAGGUGUGUAUUUGGCAAGAUGAGAAUGAGGGGUGGUGUUUAUGUGACAAGGACAUGGUCAUUGAAGACAGUCCUUUCCUAUGUCACAUUUUAGCCUGUGCCCAGCCCCUUGUGAAUUUGGUGGACUGGUUGGUUAAGGGGAAUGACCCACUGAGUUUCUUCCUGCCUCCAAUUCAAAACCAUGUAAGUGUCUCAUUACAAAACUGUGUACAUCUUUAAGAUUAUAUCUGGAACAUUUGAGCUGAAAUGUCAGAAAGGCCAAUUUGCCAUUUUUAUAUUUGCAAAAGAUCACCAAGAGGGAGAAUCAUUUCUUAUCUUUACUACUGACCCUCUGAAAAAUGCAGGAAUUUAAUAGUAAAUAAGCAGAACUUACCAUCUGGCUCUGCCUUGGCUUGCAAACACAGGCAUGUCUUAAAAUUUCCUUCUUUCUUUCUUUUACUUAUUUCCUUUUGAAUGUUUUCAAAAAAUUUACAUUUAGAAAAUGCAAAGAAUGUUAAAACUCGUAAAAUAGAAAGUAAAUAAUCUACCCCACUCUUCCCACAAAACCCUGUUUCCUGCCUUUCCUCCACCCACUCUCCAGGGCAAACUCUUAAUAACUCUCGAUAAGCUCAGUGGAUAGCAUCCCAGGCCAGUUUCUGAGUGUAUCAACAUUCAUCUAAAUAGAGUUGUUCUCAAUAAAAUGUCCCAUAUAGUUGGAGGGAAAAGUUUGUUAUUGUUUUGUUGUUGUUUUAAUGUUCUCCUAGUACAUACGCUCUGUAACAUAUUUUUUUUACUCAUCAGUGUAUCUUUGGUAUCCCUUGUGUUGAGACACACAGAUCAGCCUCAGAAAAAAGUUUUUAAGGUUUUAUUUCUAUGUAAUCUCUAUACCCAACGUGGGGUUUGAACUCAUGACUGCAAGAUCAAGAGUCACAGACUCCAUCAGUUGAGCCAGUCAGGAGCCUCAAACCUCAAACUUUGUAAUGGUUGUAAAGCAUUUUAACUUUUGUUCAUUUUCAACAGAACAUAUACCUGACUUCUUCUGGAAAAAGAAUGAAGCAGCUUUUGGGGAGAUUUGAGAGGUUAUUUUUCCUAAGAAAAUAGUUUCCUCUUGGAAGCUUCUAGAAUAUUGAUGCUAAAGACUAUUUUGUUCUAUUGUUUUGAUAAUGCAGGUCGUAAAUGUAAGAGUAUCCCCUAAUGAAUCUUGAGAAACAGUCACAGCCUAGUUUAUCUUUGUCUCUCUUCAAAUGGGAUUUAUGAGUUUAUUUACUAUUUUUCUGGUUAUAAAAAUAAUAUAUCUCUACUACAGAAGAUUUGAGAAAAGGUAUUUAAAAAAAUUUUUUAAAGUUAAAUUCAAAAAAAAUUCCAAGAAAAGAGUUAAAACCACAAAUAAACCCACCACCCCAAGAAAGCCAUUUAGAUCUUGGUGUCUGGUUAAUCUUUUCUUUUCGUCUGCAAGCGCGUCCACACGCACUUUUUGUAAAAAUAGAAUCAUAUCAUACAGACUUUUGUACCUGCCUGUUUACUGAACCAUCUGUGAUCUACCUAUAAGCCAUUUCUAACUUUUCACUAUUUGAAACAGUGAUUCGGCAAAUUAACACGUAGGUGCGUCUUGCACACUCUCAUAGUGAUUUCCUCAGGACGCGUCCUGAGGGGUGGAGUGGCGGCAUCCAGUGCGCUCUGCCUGGUCGUUCCAGCAAGCCAGUGUCCUCCCCAGGUACACACAGGAGAGGACUCACUCACCUGUACCCUUACUAGUGCCAGGGUCGAAUGCUUUUGUGUACAGAAUAUAACUCUCUAUUUUUACAUAGGAGAAUUCCUUAAAGCAAGACCUGACAUGGUAAAAUAAAAAUAAGGCACAGUUGUCCCGUUGGAAGGGACUGCAUUCAACACACUGAAAAUGCUAGUCUACACGAAGAGCUGAAACAGUAUGGAGCACACGCGAUUUUAUUCAUGGUAGGCAAUAAGGAAGGAAGGAACUGUGAAUUUCUGUCUCCCACUGUCAGUAUGACUUGCCUCUUAAACUGGGCAUCAGUGUCCUUACCAGUAAAAUUAAGGAUCAAAGUAGAACAUUUUUUUCGGUUGUGAAGUUCUUUGUUCUAUACUUCAGUUUUUUGUUCUGGUCUCCAGGCUAGCACAAAGCAUUGGGCUAGAUCUUCUAAAUUACGAUUAUAAGCUAGAGGGGAUGCUAAGGGAAUUCACAUAUAACUGGAUUAUAAGGUAGACUAUAUUUGUGUUACAAACACUGAGGGGAGAGAGAUUACAUCUGACCUUUUGAAAUGACCAGGAAGAGCAUUCUGGAAAAGGUAGUCUUUGGGUGGGGAGGGGAGGUGGUGUUCGGAGAGUGGCUCAGAGUUUGGGUUACGUUCUUCGUAAAGCUGAAAUGGAGGGGAGAGGUGGUAGAAAGAAUAUUCCAGACAGCAAGAGUGGGUGAAGUCAAAAGGAAGAAAAAUGCAAGGUGGAUUAGAGCCUUGGCAAGUCCUCCCAGGACUACAGAGAAGUGAGGGAGGCAGAGAAGAGGCAUGAGCCGUGCUGGGAGAGUAGAGUCAGGGGGGCUCAGUGGAGAUGCCGAGCACGGUCACUGGUUAGGAAAGCCAGGAAGCACGGAAGGAUGGAGAAAGCACAGAGGUCAAGGUCUUGGAGCUGGAGCAGUUCCGAGAGAUGGUCCGAGGUGCUUCUGUGUAAGCGGGUGGAUAAACUGGAGCAGAGAUGAAGGUAAGUCAGGAGGUCAGCGUGUGCGUUUUGCACUUGCUGCAUCGGGGAAGCAAUAAAGUACGGUGGUCAGCACCUCAGACUUGGAAUCUGACUUCUCCAGUUAAAAUCUUGGCUCUGUCACCUACCGUGUGACCUUGGGCAAAUUAGUGAGCCUCCUGUGUGUCAGGUUUUCAUCUGUAAAGUGGAUCUAAUAAUAACACCUACCUCACGGCUGGGUCACGCGUCAGGCACUUCUGAAAGAAUGAGUAGCACAUGGUAAGUGAGGAGUAAACACGGACUGUCUCCACCUGAUGAAAUCAACAGGCGCGUCCUGUGACCUACAGUCAGUCACUUCACGAAUCCGGCAAAAGUUGGGAGAAGAGUCAUAGUCCAGCUCACGUUCCAGUUUCAGAUUCCCGCUGACCUUGAAGCUUCAAAGGCUAUGUGACUCCAACUGAUGAAUAAGAUUAAAAAUUUGUCCCAGAGGCGCCUGGGUGGCUCAGUCGUUAAGGGUCCGACUGUAGAUUUCAGCUCAGGUCAUGAUCUCAGGGUUGUGAUAUUGAGCCCUGCAUGGGGCUCUGUGCUCAGUGUGGAGCCUGAGAAAGAGUCUCUCCCCUUCGCCUUCUGCCCCUCCCCCACUUGCGCGCACGCUCUCUCUAAAAUAAAUCUUUUUUUUUCCUAAAAUAAAUCUUUUAAAAAAUUUGUCCCAAUGCUGUAAAAAAUGAAAGUAUUAAAGUGAGAUUUCUACUUAAUAUCUUAAAUUCACAGAGAUGCCAAACAAACAAAACUCAAGAAUUUACUGAUGCUACAUCUUGAACACAGGAGGCUUAUACCAAAGAGACUAAAAAUGGAUAAUUACAUGUUGCUCUUGUGAGAUGUUCACAUAUCUUAUGUUUGUGGGUCGCUACAUAGCCAGAUAAUUUAUGUUUUACUUAUUCCAUACCUAAUUCUCUGGAAAAGAACCGAUGACCAUGCAGGAACAGAUCGUCUAUGGGCAACAAAGCGUAACGAAAGGAGAUUGAAUCCAAGCAUUGAAGAAAUAGAAUGAGAGGAGACACAAUUCUCUAGGGGACAACGAGGAAACCAGAAAGGGGUGGGGGAGCAAAAGUUGGGUUAGAAAAAGAGAAGAAAGAAGAGAAAUAGAUAAAUGAAUGACCAUAAGGAAACAGGAAGGAGGAAAAACUUAAAAUAGAAUUGUAAAAGGAGAAUGUACUAAUAGACAUUUUGUUCCUUAAUAGAUUGAUUCCCCAAAUAGGGUUCAUUAAGAGAAUCAGGUAAGAGGGCUCAUGAGCUGUUUUUAGUUUUUCAGAAAGCUUUGUUGAAAUCAUACAUUUGUCAAAACAAGGCUGCAGAAGCUUCCCUCAAUGGUAAAAUUUCACUGGGACUGAAAUGAUACUGAUUCAGGGACAAAAUUAGUCAUUUCAUGCUUAUAAAUUCUAAUAAAUGGAAAGUUCUUUGAUUAAUAAAAAAUAUGAAUACUAACUAGUAAGAAAAUAAGUUUUGUAGACAAAAAUCUUUUAAAAUCGAUAGAAAAAUCAAUAAUAAAAAUCCAUACCUUGAAAAAAUUGGGAAAUCUUCUUCUGAACAUGUGAAAACAUUGUUUCAGUGGUGAAGAUAGGCAACUAAUUUAUCUGUUUCUGCUACUGAUUGUAGUUUUUGAUGAUAUUUGCAGGAUUAAGGCACAGCCAUGCAAAUUUAUCCCUAGAAAAUGUGAUUGUUCAGAAGGUUUCUAUUUUAACAUGUUGUUGUUUCUAAUACAACACACACACACCCACACACACCUCUCUCAUUGAUUGAACAUCAGAAUUGCUUUUCUGAUUAUACAUACUACCUCUUUAAUUCUGAAGAUACGAGAAUCCAGGGGUGGAAUUAAUCUCCCUAAAUACCUAAAUUCACACUCGGUAACGGAAAUGUUGAUCUGUUUUUCUUUGAGAUUAAUACCAUUGAUGUUCCAUUACCCUGGCUCACCUCACACAUUAUACAGAAAUGCUUGUAAUUCAGGAAUCCUAUUUUGUCAUUUAUACUAUAUAAUAAAUUAUUCAAUUAUUACUGAAAAAUAAAUGUAAUAUAUAUCAAUAGAAUGCAUGUUAAAAUGUAUAUGAUGAGCAAAUAAAGAUUAUUUUAAAAUGUAGAUAUGUUUUCUUGCCACCAAGCCUAUCUUUAUUUUCAUGCCGACUUUCCAGCUAUGUCCUUUGGAUACCCUCACUCCAGUAAUUCUUUGAUAUCACCAAGACCUCCAGUCCAUCGACCCUGCGUGUCCUCACUUUGCUUCUCACUCAGAUUAGAUGGUUCUUUUCUGCCUGCAUCCACAUCACCCUUCUCUUUCUUGUUCUACCCCACAUCACCUGCCUUCUUUCCCUCUCAAAUCUCAUUUCCAUGAUGUAAGCCAAACACUAUGAAGUUAUCCUCUGCACCUUGCCCUGGAAUCCACUGCAUCUGUAAAUCGUGUUACUUCUUCCUUACUAAUUUGGAUGCUUUUCUUUCUUUCUGUUGUCUGAUUGCUGUGGCGAGGACUUCCAGUACUGUGCUGAAUAAAAUUGGUGAGAGUGGACAUCCUUGUCCUGUUCCUGAUCUUUGGGAAAAAGCUCUCGGUCUUUCACCAUCGAGUAUGAGGUUGGCUGUGGAUUUUUCAUAUAUAGCCUUUAUUAGGUUGAGAUAUGUUCCCUUUAAACGUACUUUGUGGAGGGAUUUUAUCAUGAGUGGAUAUGGUACUUCGUCAAAUGCUUUUUCUGCAUCUACUGAAAUGAUCAUAUGGUUUUUAUCCUUUCUCUUAUUGAUGUGAUAUAUCAAAUUGACUGAUUUGCUUACAUUGAACCACUCCUGCAUCCCAGGAAUAAAUUCCACUUGAUCGUGAUGAAUAAUCUUUUUAAUGUAUUGUUGGAUUUGGCUUGCUCAUAUUUUGUUGAGGAUUUUCACAUCUGUAUUCAUCAGAAAUAUUGGCCUGCGGUUCUCUUUUUUUGUAGGUGUCUUUAUCUGGUUUUGGUAUCAGGGUAAUUCUGGCCUCAUGGAAUGAAUUUAGAAGUUUCCUUCCACUUCUAUUUUUUGAAAUAGGGUGAAAAUAGGUAUUAACUCUUAUUUAAAUGUUUGGUGGAAUUCACUUCUGAAGCCGCCUGGUCUUGGACUUUUGUUUGUUGGGAGUUUUGAUUACUGACUCAAUUUCAUUGCUGGUAAUCAAUCUGUUCAAAUUUUCUGUUUCUUCCUGAUUCAGUAUUGGGAGGUUAUAUGUUUCUAGGAACGUAUCCUUUUCUUCUAGGUGGUCCGAUAUUUUGGCAUAUAAUUUUUGAUAUUAUUCCUUUACAAUCCUUUCUUUCUGUAGUUUUGGUUCCUCCUCUUGCAUUUAUGAUUUUGACUCCUCUUUUUUUUUUUUUUAAAGAUUUUAUUUAUUUGACACAGAGAGACAGUGAGAGAGGGAACACAUGCAGGAGGAGUGGGAGAGGGAGAAGCAGGCUUCCAGCUGAGCAGGGAGCCUGAUGUGGGGCUCGAUCCCAGGACUCUGGGAUCAUGACCAGAGCCCAAGGCAGACACUUAAUGACUGAGCCACCCAGGCGCCCCUUGACUCCUCUAUCUUAUUUUGAUGAAUUUGUUGAUCUUUUCAAAGAAUCAGCUCCUGGUUUCAUUGAUCUGUUCUACUGGUUUGGUUUUGUUUUGUUUCUAUAUCAUUUUUUUCUGCUCUUUAUUAUUUCCUUCUUUCUACUGGUUUUGGGUUUUGUUUGUUCUUCCUUUGCUAGUUCCUUUGGGCCUAAGGUUAGGUUGUUUAAUUGAGAUUUUUCUUACUUCUUGAGGUAGGCCUGUUUUGCUAUAAACUUCCCUCUAGAGCUGCUUUUGCUGCAUCCCAAAGAUUUUGGGCUGUUUUCAUUUUCAUUUGUUUCCAUGUAUUUUUUUUUACUUCCUCUUUGAUUUCUUAAUUGACCCAUUCAUUGUUUAGUAGCAUGUUAUUUAACCUCCAUGUAUUUGUCUUUCCAGAUUUUUUUUGUGGUUGAUUUAUAGUUUCAUAGCACUGUGGUUGGAAAAGAUGCAUGGUAUGACUUGGAUCUUUUUGAGUAUGUUGAGACUUGUUUUGUAGCCUAACAUGUGAUCUGUCCUAGAGAAUGUUCCACAUACGCUUGAAAAGAAUAUAUAUUCUGUUGUUUUAGGAUGGAAUGCUCUGAAUGUAUCUGUCAGAUCCAUCUGGUCCAAUGUGUCAUUCAGAGCCCCAGUUUCCUUGUUGAUUUUCUGUUUGGAUGAUCUAUCCAUUGAUGUAAGUGGGGUGUUAAAGUCCCCUACUGUUAUUGUAUUACUAUUUAUUACUUCCUUUAUGCUUGUUAUUAGCUGCUUUCUGUAUUUGGGUGCUCCCAUGUUGGGUGCAUAAAUAUUUACAAUUGCUAUAUCUUCUUGUUGGAUUGUUCCCUUUAGGAUUAUGUAGUGACCUUCUUUGUCUCCUGUCACAGUCUUUGUUUUAAACCUAGUUUGUCCCAUAGAAGUAUUGCUACCCUGCUUUCUUUUCGCUUCCAUAUGCAUGAUAAAUGCUUCUCCAUCCUCUCACUUUCCAUCUUCAGGUGUCUCUCUAGGUCUGAAAUGAGUCUCUUGUAGGCAGCAUACAGGUGGGUCUUGCUUUUUUAUCCAUUCCAUCAUCCUAUGUCUUUUGAUUGGAGCAUUUAGUCCAUUUACAUUCAAAGUAAUUAUUGAUAGAUAUGUACUCAUUGCCAUUUUGUUACUUGUUUUAUGGUUGUUUUUGUAGUUCUUCUCUUACUUUCUUCUCUCAUGGGUGCUGGCUUUCUUUAGUGAUAUACUUGGAUUCCCUUUUAUUUUUUGCAUAUCUAUUACUGGUUUUUGAUUUGUGGUUACCAUUAGGUUUAUAUAUAACACCUUUUGCAUACAGCAAUCUGUAUUAAGUUGAUGGUUGCUUGAGUUUGAACCCAUUCUAAAAGCACUAAAUUUGUACUCCUUCCCUCUCCACAUUUUUGGUAUAUGGUGUCAUACUUUACAUCCUUUUAUUUCGUGAAUUAGUUCAUUGAUUUUUAAAGAUACAUUUAAUUUUACUGCUUUUUGUUUCAUACUUUUCUUACUCCUGCUUAUGGUCUUUCCUUUCCACUCAAAGAGUCCCCUUUAACAUUUCUUGUAAGGCUGGCUUAGUGGUGAUGAAUUCCUUUAACUUCUGUUUGUCUGGGAAACUCUUUAGCUCUCCUUCUAUUCUGAAUGAGAACCUUGCUGGAUAGAGUGUCCUUGGCUGCAGAUUUUCCUUUCAGCAUUUGAAAUCUGGCCUGCAAAGUUUCUGCUGAAAAAUCAGCUGAUGGCCUUAUGCGAUUUCCCUUGUAUGUAACUAUUUUCUUUUCUCUUGCUGCUUUUUAAAUUCUCUUUAUCACUACUGCUUGCCAUUUUAAUUACUAUGUGUCUUGGUGUGGACCUCCUUGGGUUGAUUUUGUUGGGGGCUCUCUGUGCCUCCUCUCAGGGGUGCUUGCACACUGCCAGCUUGUGGCUCUGCUUUGGAUGGACUCCUGCUGGGGGCACGUCCACAGGAUAACUCGGCACCAGGGGUGCAGUGUCAUCAAGGCCUGUGCCAGUCCGCUGUGGGAAGGGAUUUGCAGCUAAUGGGAAAACUGCUGAGGCCGAGAUGGAUGGGUGUGACUGCAGAAGACUGGGGGCCAGGAGCUGGGUGGAGAGUGUUCACACUGUAUUUGUUCCCACAGGUGUCUGUGUAUGUAGGCUGUGGGUCAGGGGAGGGAAAUGGCACCUGCCAGCUCUUUUGUUCUUGGAGGUAUCUCCCAACAAUCCACACCCUUCUAGCACCCACUCUGAGAUUAGUAAACAAAUCUUCCUCCCAUAUACCCCAGGCAUUUUUCAAAUUGCUGCUUCUAUGCUAUAUCUUCAUGGGGCUGUUUGUUGUGCUAUCUCUUUAAGAGCAGGCACUCAGUUUUCUAUCCCCCUCUGGCUCUCCCAGAGCCAAGCCCACUGAUUUUUAUUUUUUUUAAUUUUUAAAAAAGAUUAUUUAUUUUAGAGAGAGAGAGAGCACACUAGUGGGAGGGGCAGAGGGAGAGGGAGAGAGAAACCCAAGCAGACUCUGUGCUGAGUGUGGAGCUAGACACAGGGCUCGAUCUCAUGACCCUGAGGUCACAACCUGAGCCGAAACCAAGAGUCAGACGCUUAAUCAACUGAGCCACCCAGGCGAGCCCACUGAUUUUUAAAGUUCCAGGUAUUAAGCCCCGCUGAUUGUAAUAACUCACAGAGUUAAGCCCCUCUGGUUUUCAAAGCCAAAUGUUAUGGGGAUUUGUCUUCCUAGUGCAGAUCCCCUGUGCUUUGGGUGCCUGGCAUGGGUGGUCUGCUCCUCUCCCCUCUCCGUGCCUACACCAUCCCUCCCUCCCACGGUCAGAUACCCAGGGUCAGUUUGGCUCCUGAUCAAGUCUCUACCCUUCCUACCUUUUUCAAUGUGGUCUCUCUCUACAUUUGUAUGGCCUCUCUCUAAGUCUCCAUAAUGAUAAAAGUUUUAAAUAACCAGGAAGAUAUAAAAACCUAAAUUUACAUGUAUAUAAUAAUAGCAUAGCCUCAAAAUAUGUAAAGCAAAGAAUGAUGUAACUAAACAAAGAAACAAAUUGAAGUCAUGGUGAGAUGUCUGCAAACACCUCUCUCAGUAAAUGAUAAACCAAUCAGACACAUGUAUGGAAGGGUUGAUCAAUACAAUUAAGUAAAAAGACCUAAUAACCAUAUAGAGAAGAUUGCCCCCAACACCAACACAAUACCCAUUCUUUUCGAGGAUACACAGGUCUUCUACACAAAAUGAUGACACCCUAAGCUAUAAGGCAAGUCUCUGCAAAUUUCAAAGAUUUAAAUCAUAUAUAGUGUGUUCUCAGACCACAGCACAAUUAAGAUAAAAAUCAACAAGAUAAUCAUAAAAUUGCUAUGUUUUUGAAAUUAAGAAAUAGCUUCUAAAUGAGUGCUUUACUUUGCUCAAGGAAAAAUGAGAGUUUUAGAAAACUUGUUUUCAGCGCAGGGCAGCUCAUCUGCAGCCCCAUGGUGCAUCACGUCGUCCUGGUGCAGAAACUGGCCAAGUAGGACUUGUCAAGGGCACGGUGAAAAAGUGCAAACUCGUUCUGUCCAUUUGAUUGACUUCCCUGUUUCUGCGCCAGUGUCUUGCUAUUCACAUUAUUUUAGUUUUGUAGCGUGUUUUAAAAGCAGGUGGGAUGAAUUCUCUUUUAUUGCUCUCUUUCCUCCGAAUACAAGGCCAUUCUUGUACAUCUUCUCUUCAGAACUGUAAGAUCAGUUUAUCAUGCUCCAG